rnacentral:rRNA from 1 species
AACGAACGCUGGCGGCAUGCCUAACACAUGCAAGUCGAACGAGACCUUCGGGUCUAGUGGCGCACGGGUGCGUAACGCGUGGGAACCUGCCCUUAGGUUCGGAAUAACUCCCCGAAAGGGGUGCUAAUACCGGAUAAUGUCUUCGGACCAAAGAUUUAUCGCCUUUGGAUGGGCCCGCGUUGGAUUAGCUAGUUGGUAGGGUAAAAGCCUACCAAGGCGACGAUCCAUAGCUGGUCUGAGAGGAUGAUCAGCCACACUGGGACUGAGACACGGCCCAGACUCCUACGGGAAGCAGCAGUGGGGAAUAUUGGACGAUGGGCGAAAGCCUGAUCCAGCAAUGCCGCGUGAGUGAUGGAGGCCUUAGGGUUGUAAAGCUCUUUUACCCGGGAUGAUAAUGACAGUACCGGGAGAAUAAGCUCCGGCUAACUCCGUG